rnacentral:rRNA from 1 species
UACGAAGGGUGCUAGCGUUGUUCGGAUUUACUGGGCGUAAAGCGUGCGUAGGUGGCUUUACAAGUCAGGGGUGAAAUCCUGGGGCUCAACCCCAGAAUUGCCCUUGAAACUGUAAGGCUAGAGUAUCGGAGGGGAUAGCGGAAUUGCUAAUGUAGAGGUGAAAUUCGUAGAUAUUAGCAGGAACACCGGUGGCGAAGGCGGCUAUCUGGACGAUAACUGACACUCUGGCACGAAAGCGUGGGGAUCAAACAGG